AUUGAACGCUGGCGGCAUGCCUUACACAUGCAAGUCGAACGGCAGCACGGGAGCUUGCUCCUGGUGGCGAGUGGCGAACGGGUGAGUAAUACAUCGGAACGUACCCUGAAGUGGGGGAUAACGUAGCGAAAGUUACGCUAAUACCGCAUAUUCUGUGAGCAGGAAAGAGGGGGAUCGCAAGACCUCUUGCUUUAGGAGCGGCCGAUGUCGGAUUAGCUAGUUGGUGAGGUAAAGGCUCACCAAGGCGACGAUCCGUAGCGGGUCUGAGAGGAUGAUCGCACACUGGGACUGAGACACGGCCCAGGACUCCUACGGGAGGCAGCAGUGGGGAAUUUUGGACAAUGGGCGCAAGCCUGAUCCAGCCAUGCCGCGUGAGUGAAGAAGG
rnacentral:rRNA from 1 species